rnacentral:ncRNA from 1 species
ACGGAAGCCCGGUGAGGCCAAGGUCGAUCCGGAAGAGAAGGAUCCUCCUCCCGAAACCGGGCGCCCAGCACGGAACCCGGCACCCACGCGGAGUCAUAGCCGCGAUAAUGGCAGAAGUGUUGCGGGCCUGCGUAAUUGCGAAAAGUGGAUGGUGUCGACGGCCCUUUGGGUGGGGCUGCAGCCGGAAGCGUCGCAAGAUCGCCGAGGCCAACCCACGCAGCCCCAGAGAUGCACGCUUGGUAACCGAGUUCCGUGCUAGCGGGCGGCGGACCGAAUAUUUCGGAACGUCGCCCGCUUUACAUU